CCGACUGCCAGAGCGAUUAUGCGGCCGACCGGAUCGGUAUCACGCGCCGAAUGGUGUGCGCUGCCUACCCGGAGGGCGGCAAGGACUCGUGUCAGGGCGACAGCGGCGGCCCGAUGGCCGUGGUCGGCGACAAUGACAUCUACACUCAGGUCGGCGUGGUCAGCUUCGGCAAGGGCUGCGCUCUGCCCGGCUACCCGGGCGUGUACGCGCGCGUCUCGGAGUUCGGAGACUGGAUUCGACGCAACAGCAAGCUUUAAGAGAGCUCAGGCUACCAGAGGCUGUUGCUCGACAACGCCCGACUAGCUGUUGUUACACACGACAGUGUUCGCUGUUAGUUAUAUGCUGGAAUUCCCUGGGUGCAAAAUAUGUUGGUAUUAUCUUGGAUUCUGUGGCAUUUUCAGCUUUUGCGAUGAAAGACAACGUCGUUUUUCACUCGUUUAACAUCAUCGCCUUGGUUUGAUGCUGCUCUUUCACUAUUUAGAUCGCUUAUUCUCUCUCUUUCUCGUUUCGUUGUUCACCACGACUGUUGCAGUCAGCUAAUCAACCUCGGCUCGCAUGUAACCACGUUUAUAAGACGCGCCGUCAAAUGCCCCAUUUCUGGCGCAUGGAUCAUAAUGCCUCCUUCGCGAAAUGUUGACUGCUGUGGACUCAUGUUGA